CCCAGGGAAGCCCCAGGGGCAGGAUGUGACGCCACUGACUUACGCCUCAGGGAUCAGAGAGACGCGAGAUUCUCGUUCUGAGAGACAGGCUUGAUAUCGGCUGAAGAGAGCGGGCCCAGGCUCUGUGAGGAGGCAAGCUCUGGAACCCCAGGCAGGACUGUGAGGAAGGGAGGUGAGAACCUUGCUCUCAGAGUGUGACUCAGGUCAACACAGGGAGCCCCUCUGUGUGACAGACACAGUGGGUGGCAGGAUGUGACAAGAGUCCAGGUUCUCAGGGAACAGGGAGACCAAGGGGUCAAGAGCUGUGGAAUACCACAAAGCAGCACUGAAGGAGACCUGUAAGUUGGCCUUUGUUAGAACCUCCAGGGUGUGGUUCUCAGCUGUGGUUCUCAGUGGCCACAUACAUCCUCCCUCUCUCCCCAGGCCUUCGGGUUCCCAUCACUCAACUCCUGCCCACACUCCCACCUG
rnacentral:lncRNA from 13 species